rnacentral:rRNA from 1 species
GCAAGUCGAGCGGGCGUAGCAAUACGUCAGCGGCAGACGGGUGAGUAACGCGUGGGAACGUACCUUUUGGUUCGGAACAACACAGGGAAACUUGUGCUAAUACCGGAUAAGCCCUUACGGGGAAAGAUUUAUCGCCGAAAGAUCGGCCCGCGUCUGAUUAGCUAGUUGGUGAGGUAAUGGCUCACCAAGGCGACGAUCAGUAGCUGGUCUGAGAGGAUGAUCAGCCACAUUGGGACUGAGACACGGCCCAAACUCCUACGGGAGGCAGCAGUGGGGAAUAUUGGACAAUGGGGGCAACCCUGAUCCAGCCAUGCCGCGUGAGUGAUGAAGGCCCUAGGGUUGUAAAGCUCUUUUGUGCGGGAAGAUAAUGACGGUACCGCAAGAAUAAGCCCCGGCUAACUUCGUGCCAGCAGCCGCGGUAAUACGAAGGGGGCUAGCGUUGCUCGGAAUCACUGGGCGUAAAGGGUGCGUAGGCGGGUCUUUAAGUCAGGGGUGAAAUCCUGGAGCUCAACUCCAGAACUGCCUUUGAUACUGAAGAUCUUGAGUUCGGGAGAGGUGAGUGGAACUGCGAGUGUAGAGGUGAAAUUCGUAGAUAUUCGCAAGAACACCAGUGGCGAAGGCGGCUCACUG